UUUUAUUUUAUUUACUCUUCCAUAGAACAAAAUGACCAAAUACUCAUUCUUCACUUUUCUUCUCAAAAAUAAAUAAACGAAUCUCUUCAUUAUUUCUCAAAAAAAAAUUGAAGGAUAUGGAAGAAAUUCUCUUUACAUAGAUCUAUUCUACCAUGGAAAUUGAUCUUGUUAUGCUACUUAUUCUUCUUCUAUUACUUUUUUUAAUAAUUAUCAAAAGAAAAUCUCUUCGUUCUUUAGCAGAAGAGAGAAGAAAUUGCAGAUUCGUAGCGGAAUCGCUAUGGUUGUUAUUCUAAUUUUUGUAGGGACCAAAACCUCGAUCUACAACCGGUUAUGCUAUCUUUCUAAUAGGUAUGUUCAUUUUCAAUAAUACGAAGGGAUACACUUAAACUCGACAUCAAAAUCAUGCAAAACGGAGCAAUUUAACCUGUCUCUGAUGUCAUUGAUAGUAAACUACGGAGCAAAAUCAGUGUGUACCUUGAUAUUUUGCAGGGAAAGUGUUAAAUUUGCUAACGAAAAGAAUUGCUCCAAAUCUACCUUGAAUCUCUUAGAAACAAAGCUUUGAAGUCACAAACUAGAUGCUCUUUUUUCUUGGUGUUUUUGCUAAAUGCAUUGUAUUUUUAUUUCUGAUCUUGUUCUCUUAGUUUUUGUUGCCUGAAGAAGAAGAAUAUAUAUAAGGGAAUUGGGCGGGUAAACAGUGACUGAGUAACUGUUCCCACCCCUUUUUUUAUUUACAUCAAUAGGUUACUCCCUUUUUUUUUUUUCACAUAACAAAACACAAAUAAAUAAUGAGUUGGGUCGGGUUGGGUCAUUCCACAUGGGCGACCCAUGACCCGUUUACUAACAUGAACCAAUGAUUCCGAUGAAAGAUUGCAUAAGAAGACGACACUAUUUAUAGUUGCACUCACAAGAUCUUAAUUUUGUCAAAUAUAUAACAUGUUCUUUGUUCUCCCUUUUUUUGAUAUAUAUUUAUCAUUAUAUUUUUUUUAAUAGUCUAUUAUUAUAUCCAAAUCAAUAUGAUAAACUGGUAUAUGAUGAAGGAAGGAAGGUUGUAAGCAGAGAAAUGAAGUAUUUCUCCUCAGACAUUACAUCAUAAUCUAUCCGUUUGUGUGUACUAAAAUGGUUUUGUUUCGCUAAUCCAUUUAUUCUGCAAACGAUAAAUUAAUUGUGUGAGAACAUAAAUGUGAUAGUGAAUUUGUAGAGUCCUUGAGGUCUCUCAGUUUUGUUCAAAAUAAGUUUCAAAUUCAAGCAAAUACAAGAAAAAAUUGCCUUAUAAUAUUCCAUGUAUGUUGUUUUAUUUAAAAAAUAAUAGCAUUAAACUAAUAAGAUGUCAUUAUACACAUCAGUCCGUCAAACCUCAUAGCAUUUGUAAUCAUGACCCUCUGGAAGGUUUUUUUUUUUUUUUUUUUGGAAUUACACAUGCAUCUGUGAUGUCAUUAUAUACGCCAAUUAGUGGCUAUAAGAGGCUUGUUUGGAUAUGUUGGUUAGCUACGUACUCCCUCAUGAAUUGUUGAUGCAGUUUUUAAGAUUAUGGAUCAAAAGGUAAUACCGAGAUCAAUUUGGCAUAUUUUGUUCUGUUUGUGGUUGAACUUUAAUUUCAUAUCAAUUUGGUAAUUCUGUUCCACAAAGUUUGAAUCUUUUUCAAACUUUGUUAUAAAUUAGCUGAUGUUUUAUUUGAUAUUUUGUUCUUAUUUAUAAAUAUUCCAUGAAAUUAGUCGAGGUGUAUAUAUACUGGUCUAAACAUCACAAUUAUCAAAAUAUAAAAUUCUUACAGCUAAGGUUUAUUAAUUUUUCAGAAGAUAAACCUCGGAGGAUUCUUCGAACUUUGGAGCACACGAAGAGCUCACUUACAAGAGCAUCUAAGCUGCAAAGUUGUUGUACCAGAACUGUAGAAGUUAAAUUAUCAUUGCUCUUGAAUGUUAUGUUAUGUUAUGUAUAAACUUUAUUUUAAUUUUUCAUUUAGCAUAAGUAGUAAAAUUUUAGCAUAAAGUUAUCACGA
rnacentral:lncRNA from 1 species